rnacentral:lncRNA from 1 species
CAGAGAUCUGUGCACAUAAUCCCCCCAAAUAGGGGGGAACAACAGCCUUGAGUCUCCUGCUUGUGUGUUAGUUUGCUGUACAGUACCCAAAGUACAUAGAAGGGAACAACACAAAUAUUCUUACAGGUGUGACAACAAAAGAACAGAAAAAGAAAGAAAUCCCUCAAAAAGAAAGAGAAAAAGAAGGGAAAAAAAAAAAAGCAACAGCAAAGAAGGAAGACUCAGAUAUUCUGUCAGUGAAAUCCUGUACCCACUGAGCUCACAGGAAAUUAUAUGAUACCUGGGUCCCUAAAGCAGGAACCUGAAUGCUGCAGCAGGAUGCAUGAUUGCUGAUGUCCAGAAUAUCCGAUGUGAUAUAUGACUUGAAGAGGAGCCACAUUUCUUCUGUAAAAGAAAUGAAAUAAAAGGAGUGCUGAGCAAAAGGCACCAGGAACCACCGCCCACCUCCCAGAGUGCCAUUCCUCAACUUGGGGACAGAACAACCCCAAAGAGAAACAUACUGGUGUUCCGAGCAGUAGUGACAGGACGAUCCUGAGUGAACAGAAGAUGAAUCAGUGGAAGAAACCAGCCUGCCAAACUGCUCCAGGAACCUCUUCUAAGUGCCCGCAGAGGAACAGAUGCCCUUGCAGUGGAAGCAUGAUGUCAAAACUGACUGCUGAGGUCUCACACCAAAGGCUGUUUUCCUCUUGAGACCUGAGACAAGUCUCUUCUAAGCCACACUUGCUGUUGUGUUUCCUAAAACAAAAGAAAUCGUUGAGGACCUUGAACUACCUGAAAGAAGGUUGUAGUGAAGUGGAGGUCAGACUCUUCUCUGAGCACAUUGGCCUUACUGCACAUAAGAACAACUCUUUCCGCUGAUGUUUUUUCACCUGCUCUGGAUAAAGCCUGAGAUACACCCUCAGUGACACUCCUGGGUUCUCCUUUUCCUUUCUGCUUUGGUGCAGAGGUGAAAGUAUCACAAGACAGUGAGAAAUGGAUGGAUUUACUUGACACAAAGAGAAAAUGCUGCUCUGCCAAAAUCAACUUUCUGAUGACAACAGCAGGACCAAAAAUUUGACUCAGGUGGUGUUGCUUUUUGUGUCAUUCAGUCACUAUGAGAAGGAGAGCAUUAAUUCCCAGAACAUUUAUACGCUAUU